rnacentral:rRNA from 1 species
UAAAGCGCGCGUAGGCGGAUCGGAAAGUUGGGGGUGGAAAUCCCGGGGCUCAACCCCGGAACUGCCUCCAAAACUAAUCGGUCUAGAGUUCGAGAGAGGUGAGUGGAAUUCCGAGUGUAGAGGUGAAAUUCGUAGAUAUUCGGAGGAACACCAGUGGCGAAGGCGGCUCACUGGCUCGAUACUGACGCUGAGGUGCGAAAGUGUGGGGAGCAAACAGGAUUAGAUACCCUGGUAG